GGCCCCAUGGUGUAAUGGCUAGCACCCUGGACUUUGAAUCCAGAGAUCCGAGUUCGAGUCUCGGUGGGACCU
rnacentral:tRNA from 1 species